CCUACGGGGUGCUGCAGUGGGGAAUAUUGGGCAAUGGAGGAAACUCUGACCCAGCAACGCCGCGUGAAUGAUGAAGGUCUUCGGAUUGUAAAGUUCUUUUCUAAGGGAAGAAGAAAGUGACGGUACCUUAGGAAUAAGCCACGGCUAACUACGUGCCAGCAGCCGCGGUAAUACGUAGGUGGCAAGCGUUAUCCGGAUUUAUUGGGUGUAAAGGGCGUGUAGGCGGGAAAGCAAGUCAGAUGUGAAAACUCAGGGCUCAACCCUGAGCCUGCAUUUGAAACUGUUUUUCUUGAGUGCUGGAGAGGCAAUCGGAAUUCCGUGUGUAGCGGUGAAAUGCGUAGAUAUACGGAGGAACACCAGUGGCGAAGGCGGAUUGCUGGACAGUAACUGACGCUGAGGCGCGAAAGCGUGGGGAGCAAACAGGAUUAGAUACCCCGGUAGUC
rnacentral:rRNA from 1 species